AACGAACGUUAGCGGCGCGCCUAACACAUGCAAGUCGAACGCGACAGGGGCAACUCUGUUGAGUGGCGCACGGGUGAGUAACACGUAGGUAAUCUCCCCUCGAGUGGUGGAUAACCUUCCGAAAGGAGGGCUAAUACAGCAUAAGACCACGGCCUCGAAAGAGGCUGAGGUCAAAGCGGAGGAUCGCAAGACUUCGCGCUUGAGGAUGAGCCGGCGGCCCAUCAGGUAGUUGGCGGGGUAAUGGCCCACCAAGCCUAAGACGGGUAGCUGGUCUGAGAGGAUGAUCAGCCACACUGGAACUGAGACACGGUCCAGACUCCUACGGGAGGCAGCAGUGGGGAAUCUUGCGCAAUGGACGAAAGUCUGACGCAGCGACGCCGCGUGGGUGAUGAAGGCCUUCGGGUUGUAAAGCCCUGUGGGGAGGGACGAAUAAGUUCCGGUUAAUACCCGGAGCGAUGACGGUACCUCCUUAGCAAGCACCGGCUAACUCUGUGCCAGCAGCCGCCGUAAAAC
rnacentral:rRNA from 1 species